AGCUUUGUACAGUGGCAGUAUCAUAGCCAGGUUUAGCAAAGGUGUGAUUAUUGCUAAUUGAAAACUUUUUCCAAUACCCCACCAUGAUGACUUGAAAUAUACUAGGCAAUGGCAUUUUUUUUUUUUUAAUUUGAGA